rnacentral:rRNA from 1 species
AUACGUAGGGGGCGAGCGUUGUCCGGAAUGAUUGGGCGUAAAGGGCGCGUAGGCGGCCCGGUAAGUCUAGAGUGAAAGUCCUGUUUUUAAGAUGGGAAUUGCUUUGGAUACUGUCGGGCUUGAGUGCAGGAGAGGUAAGUGGAAUUCCCAGUGUAGCGGUGAAAUGCGUAGAGAUUGGGAGGAACACCAGUGGCGAAGGCGACUUACUGGACUGUAACUGACGCUGAGGCGCGAAAGUGUGGGGAGCAAACAGGAUUAGAUACCCUGGUAGUCCACACUGUAAACGAUGAAUGCUAGGUGUAGGGGGUAUCGACCCCUUCUGUGCCGCAGUCAACACAAUAAGCAUUCCGCCUGGGGAGUACGGCCGCAAGGUUGAAACUCAAAUGAAUUGACGGGG